UCAUGGCUCAGGAUGAAUGCGGAGGCGUGCGUAAUACUGCAAGUCGAGCGAAGGAUUAAGAGCUUGCUCUUUUGAAUUAGAGGCGGAAGGGUGAGUAACACGUGGGUAACCUGCCCAUAAGACUGGGAUAACUCCGGGAAACCGGGGCUAAUACCGGAUAAUAUUUUGAACUGCAUGGUUCGAAAUUGAAAGGCGGCUUCGGCUGUCAAUUACGGAUGGACCCGCGUCGCAUAGCUAGUUGGUGAGGUAACGGCUCACCAAGGCAACGAUGAGUAGCCGACCUGAGAGGGUGAUCGGCCACACUGGGACUGAGACACGGCCCAGACUCCUACGGGAGGCAGCAGUAGGGAAUCUUCCGCAAUGGACGAAAGUCUGAUCGGAGCAACGCCGCGUGAGUGAUGAAGGCUUUCGGGUCGUAAAACUCUGUUGUUAGGGAAGAACAAGUGCUAGUUGAAUAAGCUGGCA
rnacentral:rRNA from 1 species